rnacentral:rRNA from 1 species
AAGCUCGUAGUUGGAUUUCUGGUUUGACAAACCUGGCCCGCCACGGUUACGUGUGUGAGUGCCGGUGUAUGUCUGCCAUCCUUCUGGUCAACGUGUCUACCCUUCACUGGGCCGGAUACGCGAUCCAGAUCAUUUACUUUGAAAAAAUUAGAGUGUUUAAAGCAGGCGUUUGCUAUGAAUACAUUAGCAUGGAAUAAUAAUUUAGGACUUUGGCCCUAUUUUGUUGGUUUCUAGGACUGAAGUAAUGAUUGAUAGGGAUAGUUGGGGGUGCUCGAAUUCAGCGGCCAGAGGUGAAAUUCUUGGAUUCGCUGAAGACGAACUCAUGCGAAAGCAUUCACCAAGGAUGUCUUCUUUAAUCAAGAACGAAAGUUGGGGGAUCGAAGACGAUCAGAUACCGUCGUAGUCUCAACCAUAAACUAUGCCGACUAGGGAUCAGCGAACGUUGCAUUUUCGACUUCGUUGGCACCUUAUGAGAAAUCAAAGUCUUUGGGUUCCGGGGGGAGUAUGGUCGCAAGGCUGAAACUUAAAGGAAUUGACGGAAGGGCACCACCAGGAGUGGAGCCUGCGGCUUAAUUUGACCCAACACGGGAAAACUUACCAGGUCCGGACAUAGUGAGGAUUGACAGAUUGAAGAUCUUUCUUGAUUCUAUGGGUGGUGGUGCAUGGCCGUUCUUAGUUGGUGGAGUGAUUUGUCUGUUUAAUUCCGUUAACGAACGAGACCUCGACCUGCUAAAUAGUUCGGUAAAUCCUUCUGGAUUUACUUUGGACUUCUUAGAGGGACUAUCGGUGCGUAGCCGAUGGAAGUUCGAGGCAAUAACAGGUCUGUGAUGCCCUUAGAUGCCCUGGGCCGCACGCGCGCUACACUGAUGCGUCCAUCGAGCUUACAACCUUGACUGAGAGGUCUGGGUAAUCUUUUGAAAUCGCAUCGUGCUGGGGAUAGAUGAUUGUAAUUAUUCAUCUUCAACGAGGAAUUCCUAGUAAACGCAAGUCAUUAGCUUCAUUGAUUACGUCCCUGCCCUUUGUACACACCGCCCGUCGCUGCUACCGAUUGAGCGAUUUGAUGAACCUCAGGGACUGCUGCUUUCGGUUGGGUUUCCUUCCGUUUGUGUGUGGGAACUGAUGUGAAUCUACUCGCUUAGAGGAAGCAAAAGUCGUAACAAGGUUUCCGUAGGUGAACCUGCGGAAG